CACAUAGUUCUUGGGAGGUCGAGGAGCAUGUAGAAUGUGUUGACAUCGAAAGCUACUCUAAUUGCUUUGGCUGCCCAUGCUUUUGACCCUAGUGAAGCAGAGAGGCUUAAGUUUUUGUCAUCCCCUCAGGGGAAUUUUCACAUAUAUGCCCCACCUUUUUUAGUAACUGAAGUGCUUGAAAUCCAGAUUCUCUAGGAUGAGCAAGAAGAAGCAACAAUUAAUGCAGAUAGUAAUGCUGGUUUGUUCUGAUUUCUGCUAUCUUUGCCAUAUAAUGAUGAGUUUAUCUUGUUUCUAUUAUUAGUGCACUUUUCUAGUGGUCACAUGAUGUACAUCACAUGGCUCUACCAAACUCUAUCCAUGGUGGGUCAUAGCAACUUUUCUUGGAGCUGAUUGAAUUUACCUUUUCAUAUCUGUUGUUCUCAGCUUGCAGAAUCCAUGUACGAGUACAAGGUAUGAUGUUCUUGAUCUUAGAGGGUUCCCUUCAAUGCAGGCCUUGGGAAUGAGGCUG